rnacentral:lncRNA from 1 species
CUGUGCUUUGUGGAAUGCUUGGUUGGACACGCAACCUCAUGUGAUGACGUGACAAUUCCAUUCCUUACUUUGCAGGGCUUGUCCAUGGCUCUGAUUUGGAUUCUUUGUGGUGUGCCUCCACAUGCCCAGUGGUCAAGCUCUAGGAACUUGCCUUGUGAUGAGCAUCUCUGGUGUUGAUGGAAUAUAUCACUAUAAAGUAAAAUAUGUGGGUGUGCUUUGCAUAUUAGCAAUU